rnacentral:rRNA from 1 species
GUGGGGAAUCUUGCGCAAUGGGCGAAAGCCUGACGCAGCCAUGCCGCGUGAAUGAUGAAGGUCUUAGGAUUGUAAAAUUCUUUCACCGGGGACGAUAAUGACGGUACCCGGAGAAGAAGCUCCGGCUAACUUCGUGCCAGCAGCCGCGGUAAUACGAAGGGGGCUAGCGUUGCUCGGAAUUACUGGGCGUAAAGGGCGCGUAGGCGGACAGUUUAGUCAGAGGUGAAAGCCCAGGGCUCAACCUUGGAAUUGCCUUUGAUACUGGCUGUCUUGAGUACGGGAGAGGUGAGUGGAACGCCGAGUGUAGAGGUGAAAUUCGUAGAUAUUCGGAAGAACACCAGUGGCGAAGGCGACUCACUGGCCCGUUACUGACGCUGAGACGCGAAAGCGUGGGGAGCAAACAGGAUUAGAAACCCCAGUAGUCC